UACAGUGGCAGGACAUAGAUCCAGAUGUGCUAACAAGCAAAUUUGUUAGUGACAUUGUUAUGUCUGUGUCAUCUGCAAUGGCUUUGCGGGAUCGAAGUUCUGAAAGUGCUCGUUUUGAGAUUUUGAGUGCAGAACAUAGUGCUGUUAUUAUAGAAAAUGAAAAUUCUACUGUUCACAUCGAUGCUGUAGUUGAUCCUUUGAGUCCAGUUGGUCAGAAAGUGGCGUCACUGCUUAGAGUUCUCAGGCAAUACAUUCAACCAAGCAUGAGAAUUGUACUAAACCCUAUGAGUUCUCUUGUUGAUCUUCCCUUGAAAAAUUUCUACAGAUAUGUAGUACCAACCAUGGAUGAUUUCAGCAGUACUGAUUACGCAGUAAACGGCCCUAAAGCGUUUUUUGCAAAUAUGCCAAUGUCAAAAACACUUACCAUGAAUCUUGAUGUUCCUGAGCCAUGGCUUGUUGAGCCCAUUAUUGCUGUCCAUGACUUGGAUAACAUUUUGCUUGAAAACUUGGGAGACACGAGGACAUUGCAUGCAGUUUUUGAACUUGAAGCUCUUGUCCUUACUGGUCAUUGUUCUGAGAAAGAUCACGAUCCCCCUCGAGGCCUUCAGCUGAUUCUUGGCACUAAGAAUAUGCCCCACUUAGUUGAUACUAUUGUGAUGGCCAACUUGGGUUAUUGGCAAAUGAAAGUCUCUCCUGGGCUAUGGUACCUUCAACUUGCUUCAGGUCGAAGCUCUGAGCUUUAUGUUCUGAAGGAAAAUGGAGGUGGAAGCCUUGACAACCUUUUGUCGAAACGUAUAACCAUAAAUGAUUUAAGGGGAAAAGUAGUACAUUUGGAGGUGGCAAAGAAAAAAGGAAUGGAGCAUGAGAAAUUGCUGGUUUCUAAUGAUGACGAUAACCAUUCUCAAGGGAAAAAAAAAGGAACUCAUAAUAACUGGAACUCUAACCUUUUGAAAUGGGCUGCUGGUUUUAUUGGUGGUAGUGGACAAGCCAAAAAGGAUGAGAACACUUCAAUGGAGCAUGGGAAGGGUGGCCGGCGAGGGAAGCCAAUUAAUAUUUUUUCUAUUGCUUCUGGACAUCUAUAUGAAAGGUUCCUUAAAAUCAUGAUUCUAAGUGUCUUGAAGAAUACUAAUCGUCCGGUGAAAUUUUGGUUUAUAAAGAACUAUCUUUCUCCUCAAUUUAAGGAUGUGAUUCCACGUAUGGCACAAGAAUAUGGUUUUGAAUAUGAACUGAUCACCUAUAAAUGGCCUUCCUGGUUGCAUAAGCAGAAGGAAAAGCAACGAAUUAUUUGGGCGUAUAAAAUUUUAUUCCUUGAUGUUAUCUUUCCUCUUUCUUUGGAGAAGGUUAUAUUUGUGGAUGCAGAUCAGGUUGUUCGAGCAGACAUGGGAGAGCUGUAUGACAUGGAUAUAAAAGGAAGGCCUCUUGCAUAUACGCCAUUCUGUGACAACAACAAGGAUAUGGAUGGAUAUCGAUUUUGGAGACAAGGUUUCUGGAAAGAACAUUUACGGGGAAAACCAUACCAUAUAAGUGCUUUAUAUGUUGUUGAUUUGGUGAAAUUCCGAGAAACUGCAGCUGGGGAUAAUCUCAGGGUUUUUU
rnacentral:misc_RNA from 1 species